rnacentral:rRNA from 1 species
AUUGAACGCUGGCGGCAUGCUUUACACAUGCAAGUCGAACGGUAACAGGGAGCUUGCUCCGCUGACGAGUGGCGAACGGGUGAGUAAUGCAUCGGAACGUACCGCGUAAUGGGGGAUAACGUAGCGAAAGUUACGCUAAUACCGCAUACGCCCUGAGGGGGAAAGUGGGGGACCGCAAGGCCUCACGUUAUACGAGCGGCCGAUGUCGGAUUAGCUAGUUGGUGGGGUAAAGCCUACCAAGGCGACGAUCCGUAGCGGGUCUGAGAGGAUGAUCCGCCACACUGGGACUGAGACACGGCCCAGACUCCUACGGGAGGCAGCAGUAGGGAAUAUUGGACAAUGGGGGGAACCCUGAUCCAGCCAUGCCGCGUGAGGGAAGAAGGUCCUCUGGAUUGUAAACCUCUUUUGGCAGGAAACAAACCUGCGCUAUACGCGCAGCUGAGGGUACCUGCAGAAUAAGCACCGGCUAACUCCGUGCCAG